AAGCUAACUCAACCAUUACAGAA
rnacentral:snRNA from 1 species